CCAGGCAGUGCCGGCAGUUUUACAGAGGUGCACGGUGGGCUCCGGUAAAGCUCCAGAUACGGAGCCACGCCGGCAGCACCAGGGGGCGGAUGCGGCUCUGAGACGCGGACCGGCCAGCUUUCCUCGGUGCAGCGGGCGCAGCUUGGACGCAAGGGGCAAGCCUGCCGCCAGCCGGUCAAUAGACAAGGCAUUGGGAAACAGAACCAAACGUCCAGAAGUUCGUGGGCCUCCUUGACCUGAAUCCUCUGGCCAGAAAGACUGGGACGUUUCUACUGGAGUUUUAGUCUCCUGAAAUGCACUGAGAAGCUGGCAGAGCCUGCCCUGGGGGCAAAGCGUUGAGAAAAAAGACGAAAAUUAAAAGAAAAAAAAAAAAAAGGAAACUGGCCCCUGUUCGACAACUGCCUUCGGCUGCGUAUUUUUCAACAUCCGCAAGUGGUGUUUUUGUGUUCUGUCAGAGUUUAUAUUUGUACUAAGCAGGGAGGACGUGCUGUCAGGGGAAGGCUGGGAAUCUCCCCCCUCCCUGUGACCCCACUCCAGGCAGAUCUUCCUCCCCGACGUUGCACCCAACCAUGCUGUCAAAGGUGACUAGAGAUUUCCUCUGACUUCAAUGUUACCUUCUUCCUCCUUCUAAUUCACUGGACAGUUUUCCUAAGUCUCCUUGGCUGUCUCCUGCUCAUCACUCUGACUUUUUUUUUUGUUGGAAAGCCCCGCGGCUUCUCCCUUUUCUAACUCCCUCUUUUGUUAAUCACCUGGCCUAGUAAAACUCCAACAUUUAAAUCACCCCCUCAAGAAUCUCUGUUCAGAUGCCUACUGAAUGCCUACGGAAUCUCUUUUCAGAUGCCUCUUUUCGUCUGCCUAUUGCCAGACGCCCACUGGUAUGUCCGGAGGCGUCUCAAACUUACAAUAGCUGACCGCACCUGUGAUUCUGCCGCUCCUUCUCCCCCACCGCUCCCUCAACCUUGCCCUUCCAAGGAACGUCAACUCCGUUUUUCCCCAAAUCCUUAAGUCACCUUUCAUUCUUCUCUUAGUCUUCCCCUCAUAUUCCAUCGGUCCACAAGUCCUGUCAACUCCAGCUUCAAAAUAUACAUGGAAUCAUCAAGCUUCUUCAUCACCCACAGUGCCCCAGCCUGAUGCAAGUAUCCCUCGUUUCUUAGUCGGAGAGCAGGAAUGGUGUCUCAGUUCACCUCCUGUGUCUUUGCACCAGUGUCUUCUAGCACAGCUUCUACUGACAUAUUGUAUAUUGCAAAAUGUUGAGCAUCCCUGGUCCCCAGUUAUUGUGACAACUAAUAUCCCCUCACCCACGUGCAUGCACACAUAGGCAUCUCUGAACAUCUUGGCAAGAAGGAAGUCAUAGAAAGAUAUAGCAUGCUCAUGAUUGGAAGAAUUAAUAUUGUUAAAACGUCCGUAUUUCCCAAAGCAAUCUACAGAUUCAGUGCAACCUCUAUCAAAAUCCCAAUGGCAUUUUUCACA